rnacentral:lncRNA from 1 species
UUAACCUUGAUCACUUGGCUAAGGUGGUGUCUGCUGAGUUUCUUCACUAUACAGUUGUUAUGUUUCCUUUUGUAAUUUAUAAAUAGCAUGAGCUAUUUGGAGACUAUGUUAAUAUCCUGUAUCUCCUCAAACUUUUGCCCACUGGCUUUGGAAUUUCUGGGCAUAUUGCAUAAUGGUGAGGUUUGGGCUUCUGGUGUAUCCAUCACCCAAACAGUGAACAUUGUACCCAACAGGUGAUUUUUCAACUUUUGCCCUUCUCCCACCCCACUCCACUGUGGAAUUUUCAUGUCUGUUAUUUUCAUCUUUAUGUCCAUAUUGUUUUCUUAAAAUCAUUUUCAUAUCUAGGGAAUUUGGCCUUGUCAGUACUUAUGGUAAUUAAAUUCAAGCCACACUUAAUGAUAAGCAUCAUUGUCAUUGUUCUCCAUGAUAAUAAAUCGUUGAUAAUAAAUAAAACAAUCAAUGGUAAUAAAUAAAAUAUAGCAACGCUAUGUUCUUUACUUUUUAUAACCAGAAUCAAUAUUGAUGGUUUUCUCAAGUACAGCCAGGGUAUCAUGUAAUUAUAACAUCCAUCCCUUCCACUUUAAGAUAAACGUUCGGGGCCAUUUCUUCAGUAGAUGUGAUCUCUGCUCUUUACUGACAGAGGCGUGAGAAUCUCAAGAGCAUACUCUGUUGUCUGCUUAGCUCUCUGUGUUUGCUCAUUUACUAGGGCAGUGAUUGGCACAUGGUAUGAAUGAAUGAAUGAAUGAAUGAAUAUGGGGGUUGGCCAUUUGGUGGGUCUAGUUGGGAUUACACUCUUCAGCUCUCUUCCAGAUCCCAAUUAAGCGCAUGUAUGGGUACUUCCUGGCCUCUAGCACUGCGUAGAUGCUUGAGAUAUAGCUGUGCACAGAAUGGCAAAGAACCCUGACCAUGUGGGGCUUGGAUUCUAGUGAAAGGAGAGAAAUGGCAAACAAUAAAUGUAAUAGUAGGCAAAUUUGUGCUAUGUUAGAGGUCUUUACCUCUCCUAGAAAAAUAAAAAUGGUUACAGCAGGAUAGAUAGACCAGCAGUACCAGGAACACAGGCGGCGUCAGGCUGCAGUGGUGAAUAGUGCAAUAGGCAUCAUUGCCUAGGUGAGAUGUUAGCAGGGAGUAGAAAGAGCUAGGGAAGUUAGUUAGCAGGUGUCUAGUGAGGGCACGUCCCAGGACCAGUGAGGACCGGUGUGCAGGAGUGAAUUGAGGAAUGAGUCCAGAGAGAUAAAGGCAGACAUGAAAGUCUUGUCCUUUGCAAGGACUCAGCCUUGCAAUCUGAGUGAAAUGGGAAAUAUUAGAAUGUUUUGAACAGAGGAAUGGCGUGAAGGGGCUUAGGUCUAAAAAGGAUCUCUCUGGAGAUCUUAGACUGUGGCGGGCAAAGGUGAAAGUCCUUCAGGAGACUUUGAGGUGGUCUAGGUGUGAUUUGAUGGGCCAGGAGAUAGCAGCAGAGGUGGGGAGCAGUGAGUCAGAUUCUGGUAGUAUUUUAAGUGGAGGAAACAGGAUUGUGAGUGUGAUCAAUAAAGUCAGGACUGAGAAUGACAUUUGCUACUUUGUCCUGUCAGCUAAGUCACCCUUAUGUUGUGCGUUUGUUCUCAGAUGGGGACUAAGAAUUGACUGUUGCGUUUGGCAAUGUGUGGGUCUUUGGGGACCUUGGCAGGAGCAGUGUUGGUGCUGUAGUGGGGGCAAAAGCCUGGAUGGAGUAAGUUUAAAGGGAGGAAUUACAAGAAAGGGAUCAGAGACAGCAGAUAUGGACAGCGAUUGCAGGAAGUUUUCUGCAAAGUGGAACUGGUGGCGGUGGUGGGUAAGCAAAGUAGUUAUUUUGUUUAAGAUGGUAGAAAUGACAGCAAAUAUGCUGAUGGGAAUGACUAAGAAGAGCAAGCAAAAUUGAUGGAGCACAAGAGAGCAGGGAGAACGGCUAGAGGGAUGUCCUUAAGUUGCAAGUGCAGAUAGGACCUUUCACCCAGUCCUCCUCAAGCAGGGAGGUGCAGAUAUGGGUGCCAUGUGCUGGGAGCCCAUGUUAUGGUGUGGUUUGUACAAGUUGUCUUCUAAUUACUUCAAUUUUCUCAGUGGGUAGGAAGUUGAAGGUGAUGAUGGAGGAGGUAUGGGAGUUUCAAAGGAGGAAGCAUUCUUCCAUUUAUUAAACAGCAAAUCUCUGUUGAGUAGAAUGCUGGGGGCUUUCCUCUGUGUUGAGGAAUACAGUGAUGAACAAGUCUAACAAUCAUUCUGGGAUUGAUGAAUAAAUACGCUAAGUUUAGAUAGCAGUUGGUACUAAUGAAGAAAAUAACUCAGGAAUAUGAUCGCAAUGAGUAGGAGGGAGGAUUCCAAACCGAUUUUGG